GUGGGGAAUAUUGGACAAUGGGCGAAAGCCUGAUCCAGCCAUGCCGCGUGUGUGAAGAAGGUCUUCGGAUUGUAAAGCACUUUAAGUUGGGAGGAAGGGUAGUAACCUAAUACGUUGCUACUUUGACGUUACCGACAGAAUAAGCACCGGCUAACUUCGUGCCAGCAGCCGCGGUAAUACGAAGGGUGCAAGCGUUAAGCGGAAUUACUGGGCGUAAAGCGCGCGUAGGUGGUUCAGUAAGUUGGAAGUGAAAUCCCCGGUCUCAACCUGGGAACUGCUUUCAAAACUGCUGAGCUAGAGUACGGUAGAGGGUGGUGGAAUUUCCUGUGUAGCGGUGACAUGCGUAGAUAUAGGAAGGAACACCAGUGGCGAAGGCGACCACCUGGACUGAUACUGACACUGAGGUGCGAAAGCGUGGGGAGCAAACAGGACUAGAAACCCGUGUAGUCC
rnacentral:rRNA from 1 species